rnacentral:rRNA from 1 species
UACGUAGGGGGCGAGCGUUGUCCGGAUUUAUUGGGCGUAAAGAGCUCGUAGGCGGUUGGGUAAGUCGGGUGUGAAAACUCAGGGCUCAACUCUGAGACGCCACUCGAUACUGCUCUGACUCGAGUCCGGUAGGGGAGCGUGGAAUUCCCGGUGUAGCGGUGAAAUGCGCAGAUAUCGGGAGGAACACCAGUGCGAAGGCGGCGCUCUGGGCCGGAACUGACGCUGAGGAGCGAAAGCGUGGGUAGCAAACAGG